rnacentral:lncRNA from 1 species
CUUUGAAAUUGGCUCCUUCCUAACUUUUCAAGAUUCUUACAUCUUACUCCUCUCACCUUGCCCCAACGGCACAUUUGGUGAGCCAGUGACAUUGGCAUCCUUACUCUUCUUCACCAUCUUCCAACUCUGGAUACAUUCAUUGCUGGGAUUAAUGUUGGACACUUCUUCCACUGGGAAAGAUCCAAUUGGUCUAUGACUUGUUGAUAUCAGUAGAUAAUAAGCCAUGGGUGGCUUAGUAAGCCACUCCUAGGGAUAUUCCCAGGGCAUAUUAAAAUUAAGGGACUUGCUCAGAGGCACACAACUAAUAAGAUUUUGAGGUGUGACUUCAAUUAUAACUUUAUUAUAUUAUGAUUAAAAUUCUCUGGAGACUGUCAAUUAAUAAUUAUUUAUUAGGUAGUAAAGGUUAGAGUAAGAGAGAGGUAGUCACAUAAUCACCUGGCGCCACUUAACUAAUCUGAGUUUGCACACUUGUCUCUGCUCAUUAGCCAAAAGCUGAUGUCUAGGAAAAGUCUCCAGACUGAGAGAGCCAAGAGCCAAAAAAUCCCCCACAGGACAUAUUUACUUUCUUAAUGCCCUCUUUUAUAAAGUCAUUGAUGCCACUCCUUCUGAAUUUCCCUGUUUGAACAGAUUUAACCUCAUCCAGGUCAGAGGCCAGUCUUUUGGACAUCAGGAAUCACCAGGGAUAAGAGGCUGACAUUUACAUGACAUACUAUGCGUCUCAUCUCGUCCAUCUUUCU